UAGACUAUCUUCAGGGAUCAUUUCUAUAGUUUGUUUCUAGUACAUGCGUUUCUAGUGUCUGGUCUCGCUAAACAUAAACGAGGAGUAACAGUGUUUUCUUCUGAGCGCGACGCGGGACUUGAAUGCUCCUUCACUGUUAGCUGUUCUGGAUCAUUGAGAAACAUUCCGCUCUCUUUGGGAUCGAGCCCACGUUGGACGUCCUUUUUUA
rnacentral:snoRNA from 1 species